rnacentral:rRNA from 1 species
AUUGAACGCUGGCGGCAGGCCUAACACAUGCAAGUCGAGCGGAUGAGUGGAGCUUGCUCCAUGAUUCAGCGGCGGACGGGUGAGUAAUGCCUAGGAAUCUGCCUGGUAGUGGGGGACAACGUUUCGAAAGGAACGCUAAUACCGCAUACGUCCUACGGGAGAAAGCAGGGGACCUUCGGGCCUUGCGCUAUCAGAUGAGCCUAGGUCGGAUUAGCUAGUAGGUGAGGUAAUGGCUCACCUAGGCGACGAUCCGUAACUGGUCUGAGAGGAUGAUCAGUCACACUGGAACUGAGACACGGUCCAGACUCCUACGGGAGGCAGCAGUGGGGAAUAUUGGACAAUGGGCGAAAGCCUGAUCCAGCCAUGCCGCGUGUGUGAAGAAGGUCUUCGGAUUGUAAAGCACUUUAAGUUGGGAGGAAGGGCAGUAAGUUAAUACCUUGCUGUUUUGACGUUACCAACAGAAUAAGCACCGGCUAACUUCGUGCCAGCCGCCGCCGUAACAC